rnacentral:rRNA from 1 species
CAAUAGCGUAUAUUAAAGUUGUUGCAGUUAAAAAGCUCGUAGUUGGAUUUGUGGCGUACGGUGUGUUCCGGGCACUUGUUGUCUGAGUAACCUGCUGUUGCCAUCCUUGGGUGGAACCUGUGUGGCAUUAGGUUGUCGUGCAGGGGAUGCCCAUCAUUUACUGUGAAAAAAUUAGAGUGUUCAAAGCAGGCUUAUGCCGUUGAAUAUAUUAGCAUGGAAUAAUGAGAUAGGACUUUUUUGCUAUUUUGUUGGUUUGCGCAAGAAGGUAAUGAUUAGUAGGGACAGUUGGGGGUAUUCGUAUUCCAUUGUCAGAGGUGAAAUUCUUGGAUUUUUGGAAGACGAACUACUGCGAAAGCAUUUACCAAGGAUGUUUUCAUUAA